CGGCUGUUAACCGAAAGGUUGGUGGU
rnacentral:piRNA from 13 species